rnacentral:rRNA from 1 species
AGUGAACGCUGGCGGUAGGCCUAACACAUGCAAGUCGAACGGCAGCACAGUAAGAGCUUGCUCUUACGGGUGGCGAGUGGCGGACGGGUGAGGGAUACAUCGGAAUCUACUUUUUCGUGGGGGAUAACGUAGGGAAAAUUACGCUAAUACCGCAUACGACCUACGGGUGAAAGCAGGGGAUCUUCGGACCUUGCGCGAUUGAAUGAGCCGAUGUCGGAUUAGCUAGUUGGCGGGGUAAAGGCCCACCAAGGCGACGGUCCGUAGCUGGUCUGAGAGGAUGAUCAGCCACACUGGAACUGAGACACGGUCCAGACUCCUACGGGAGGCAGCAGUGGGGAAUAUUGGACAAUGGGCGCAAGCCUGAUCCAGCCAUACCGCGUGUGUGAAGAAGGCCUUCGGGUUGUAAAGCCCUUUUGUUGGGAAAGAAAAGCAGCAGGUUAAUACCCCGCUGUUCUGACGUUACCCAAAGAAUAAGCACCGGCUAACUUCGUG